UACAGAGGAGCCAAGCGUUGUCCGGAUUGACUGGGCGUAAAGCGCACGCAGGCGGACGCGCGCGUGGGGUGUGAAAUCUGGCCGCUUAACGGCCAGCGCCAUCCCAUACGGCGUGUCUGGAGUGAUGCAGAGGUCGGUGGAAUUGCCGGUGUAGUGGUGAAAUGCGUAGAUAUCGGAAGGAACACCGGUGGCGAAGGCGUCUACCUGGCCUUAAACUGACACUGAAUCACGAAAGCGUGGGUAGCAAACAGG
rnacentral:rRNA from 1 species